GGGGAUUUAGCUCAGUGGUAGAGCACUUGCCUAGCAAGUACCAGGCCCUGGGUUCGGUCCCCAGCUCCG
rnacentral:tRNA from 1 species